CCUGUGUUUCCGGGCGGCCUCCUGAGGCCGGCGCACAAUAUGGCAGCCUGUGGGAGGUGGCCGAGCUUGAGUAUUGAAUUCUAGCGUGGGGCUGGGAGUGGAGGCGGUUUUCAUUCACUCCCCACCCAGGUGCCGGGCUGUUGGGGCGGCGCCGCCGGGCCUCUGGAGGUGUGAGGCUGGCUAGGUGCGGUUCCGGUCCCCACCGCCUCCCUAGCCCUGCCCUGGGGUGGAACCUAAGAAAGGUCAGGCCCCGCCGCCCAGCCUAUCCUUGCUUCGGGGCGGUCUCUGUGAGUGGCUCGCUUUUAGAACAGACUUUCGCCACGUGCGGGUUCCAUGGCUGCUUUGCAGUCAGCCGGGGAGAGGAUUAACAUCCAGGCGGGAGAGACAGCCAAGGUCGGUGACAUGAAUUCGCUGGGGAAUGACUGGCCGGAGUCCGACAGGCCUCCCCAGCGCUCCCGCAGGCAAAAAUGCGCUUCCUACGUGCUGGCCCUGAGGCCCUGGAGCUUCAGUGCCUCGCUCACCCCCGUAGCCCUGGGCAGCGCCUUGGCGUACAGAUCCCAGGGCGUCCUGGAUCCUAGGCUGCUGGUGGGUUGUGCCGUCGCUGUCCUGGCUGUGCACGGGGCCGGCAAUUUGGUCAACACUUACUAUGACUUUUCUAAGGGCAUUGACCACAAGAAGAGUGAUGACAGGACGCUGGUGGACCGAAUCUUGGAGCCCCAGGACGUUGUUCGGUUCGGAGUCUUCCUUUACACCUUGGGCUGCGUCUGUGCUGCUUGCCUGUACUGUCUGUCCUCUCUGAAAUUGGAGCACUUGGCUCUCAUCUACUUUGGAGGACUGUCUGGCUCUUUUCUCUACACGGGAGGCAUUGGAUUCAAGUAUGUGGCCCUGGGAGACCUCGUCAUCCUCAUCACUUUUGGCCCGCUGGCCGUGAUGUUCGCCUACGCUGUCCAGGUGGGGUCGCUGGCAGUCUUCCCUCUGGUCUAUGCCAUCCCCCUGGCCCUCAGCACCGAGGCAAUCCUCCAUUCCAACAACUCCAGGGACAUGGAGUCCGACCGGGAGGCCGGCAUCGUCACGCUGGCCAUCCUCAUUGGCCCCACCUGCUCCUACGUGCUCUACAACACCCUGCUCUUCCUGCCCUACCUGAUCUUCAGCAUCCUGGCCACACACUGCAGUAUCAGUCUGGCGCUGCCCCUGCUCACCAUCCCCAUGGCCUUCUCCCUGGAGAGGCAGUUCCGCAGCCAGGCCUUCAACAAACUGCCCCAGAGGACGGCCAAGCUUAACCUCCUACUGGGCCUUUUCUACGUCUUUGGCAUCAUCCUGGCCCCGGCGGGCAGUCUGCCCAAGCUCUGAGGGCACCGGCAGCUCCCUGCGUAGCAGCACUCCCCGCCUCCCUGGACUGAACUGAAGCCAGAGCUCCCAUGAGGGAAUGUGACGUGGCAGGAUUUACAAAGCCAGGCGGACAGCUGGCGGCUCUGAAAGAUGAAACAGAGAGCCUUGCGAAGGGCUGGGGUGCGACGGGGAGCGGAGGAAAAAAGACGCGGUGGAGGAGGAGCAGCGGCGAUGGCCCGGCCCAGGCUGGCCCGUCCAUCUGAUGAGUGAGGCGGGGCUCAGGGGCGAAGCCAGAGACUCAUCCAUGUCUCAGAAUAAAAGGUAUGGCCACCUUUCCUGGAGACCAUUUUACAGAAGAGGAAACUGAGGCUUGGAAGCCAAAGACCACACUGGAGGAAGAGUGGAUGGUGACUUGAACUCAGCCUGCUCCAUCAAGAGUGCGAGGGAGCUUCGGCAUUUUGGUAUUUCUGGAACAGAGGCACAGGCAGCCGCUUUGGUCCCCACAGGCUCCUUCUGUCCCCCCAAGGAAGAUGCCAAAGGCUGUGGGGGGCAGGGCUGUGGGGAGCGAUGGUCCCUGGGCUCCCCCAGUCUUGCCAUCUCCUUGGGCAACCAUGUCCACAAGCCCUUCCCUUCCUGUGUGCCUUGUAGGAAGUGAAGCAGCGCUGGACAGGGGUCAGCGGCAUCUGCUGGGUCACCUGAGCCAGCAGAUUUCAGCCAUUGCUUGGUCCUGCUCCAUUUGCUCUCCAGACAAAAGCCGGAACUCAGAAUGGCCUGAGGGAGAAUUGCACAUGUCCGUCUGUGCACCUCUGUCCUGUCCCCUUAGGUGGCUGACAAUCCGGAGUGCAUACUAGACCCGCAGCCACCCGAGGGCAGGGCAGGGGUCUUGGAGGGGUUCCUCCAGAGUGUGGCCAGGCCCCGCCCACUCGGCAGGGAUUCCAUGCUCACUGAUCAGAGACUGUGGGAGCACCUGUCACGCUGCAGGGUGCAGAGGCUCAGAAGAAGCCCCAGGAGUUCUGGGAUGGAGGCGAUAGCCUGUCCCUGGCCUCUGCUGCUCUUAUUCGUGGCAAUGACUUAGUGAGUAACCACCACGUCACUGGGCAGCCACACCCUGUGCGCUGGUCCAUGUGGUCCCCAUGUGCCUUCUGGCUCUCUCACAUCGGCAUCAUUCCCAUUUUGCAGAUGGGUAAGCAAAGCCCAGAGGAGUUUCCCCUCCCUUCUACCUCCCCCCACCCCCCAGCCCCCUCUGCUCUGCCUUGGAGCCAGCCCAGCAUGGACAGCAACCCUGAACCAAAACAAGCCCCUCCACCUUGCUCAAGGCCUGUAGCUGGCAGAGUCAGAGUUUAACCCUUCUCGGCUGGAUGCUUCUGACUCCUGGCACCUCCAUUGCCAGCUCAUGGGGACUGCCUCAGAACCCGGCAGCCACAGCCUCCCUCCCUCGGGCUUCCCGCGGUGGAUUCCCCGUGAUUUGGUCAUGUCAUACUCCAGACUGCACUGGCUCUCAAGGAUGCUGGUAAUUACACAGGCAGGUGUCAUCUUCAGAGGCCGCCAGGCUCAGUGCCCUGACCCAGGAGGAACCACGGAAGUUGCCCUUCUGCCCAUCCCUCUAGGGGUCAGCGAGAGAAGCCAGAUGUGGAAACAGAUCGGUGGGGCUAGGAGCCAAGCUCCCACUGGGCAAGGAGGAGCCUGCUCUGAUGUCCUGGUCACUCCUGCUGUCCUCAGCGUGGGCCGAGGUGAACCUGCUGGCCCGUGGAGAGAGAGAGAAGACAGAGUUCCGUUUCUAAACCACUGGCAAGUGAAAGAGCCCUUGUCACUGCAGGGGCUGUAGGUCCCCUUAGAGAGAAGUCACUUUCUCUGGGACAAAGCACCCAACAGCCACAGUUUAAAGGAAGAGGCUUGUUUUGAUUCAUGGUUGCAGUUUGUGGUCAGCUGGCUCCAAGGCAGGAACAGGAGGGGAGAGGGGGCUGGUGAGGGAAACAGCUCCCUGUAUGUCAGCCGGGAAGCAGAAUGUGAAGGGAGGAGCCAGGGACAAGAACAUAGCGUCCAGGUCACAGCCCCAGUGACCCGCCCCUUCCCACAGGCUCCACCUGCAAACGUGAGAAUUUGGGGGAACUUUAGAUCUAAACCAUAACAGAACCUCAACUCACCCAAGGUGGGUUCUUUGUUUUUUUUUUAAUGUCAGGAAUCAAACCCAGGACUGUGUGCUUGCCAGGCAGGCGUUGUGCUGGUGAGCUACAUGCUGGUCCCUCCCAGGGGAGUUCUUGCCUAUCCUGACAUAGAAUCCUUUAGGAUGCACCAGUGAGAGACAAAGAACACAGGUGCUCGAGUCCUGAGGUGUUUUGCAGCCUGGGGCUAGGGCCACUCAUGUCUUUUUGGGGUGUUUUCAAGACAGAUGAUCCAGGAUGCUUAUGCUUUGGGUUAUUUGUUAUUUAAUUAGCAUCUGUCAAGUUACCCAUUAGUGCUAAAAACUGACUUUGUCAACCAGGUUAAAACCUGAACUGCUGGCCUUUGUUUGAAGUUUAGGGGGACAGAGCCAAUUACUAGUGCUGUUGCUUUGAAGGUGGGAUUUGUGGAUUGCCAGGAUCAGAAGAAAAAGCCCAAGUCUAUGGACUUUUUCUACCUUCAAGACUUAGGAAUUUAGGAGCCUAGAGAAAAAGCAUAGGCUUUGUGGUAAAGGAGGCACAGUGACCUUGAGUGUCUGAUUAUGUCUCGAAGCUACAAUUUUCUCAAAGCUACAAUUUUUAAAAUCUUGUCUUCUUCCCACCUAUCUGGAGUCCUUCUGUGUGACUCAGACUCCCACAUCACCCCGGAAAAUUCCUAAACUAGCCCUUCUUGUCUGUUUCAAAAUCCCAUUUAACAGAUGCAGUCCUGGAGGCUGAGCUUGGAGGGUUCAUGGCUCACGGUACCCAGGUUUGCCUUCAGAGGGAAAUCUGGGUGUUGUUUUGAACUACAGUCGUACACAGCUGGUAUAUCUUGGAGGUGUGGUUUUGGGGUCUGUGUCCAGUCCCUGGCACUGUUCCCCUGUCCUGCUCUGUGCCUAUUGUGACCUGAUUGUCUUUGCCCCACCAUGCCCUGCUGCCAUGCCUCUCUCUGCGCUGGAGCAGCUGACCAGGGACUGUAUCACCUGAAACCAGGAGCAAAUUAAACCUCUCUUCCUUUAAGCUGGAGGUGUUAAUGACUGUGUUCCAGCCAUAGGAAAACGACCAAUACACGCUGUGCGGGUGUUCAUGCUGUCCCUAGGGAGUGAUUUGGGCUGGAGGAUGCAGAAGGGCUUACGCUGGCUGAUAUCAUGUUUGAGAGACUUGGAGACACAGUCAUUAAGGACUGCAGAGUCAGACAGUGAUCACUGGGGGCCACCGAUGCCCUGCAGAAGGGCUGAAAUGCUGAGGGCGAUUAAUCACAAUUUAAGUGAAGUGUGAAAUCCAGAUGGCCUCCUUGGCAGUGCGUAUCAAGAGACUCUCGUCUCUUGUGGCUUGAAGACAGAAAAAACUGAGGCUCAGGCCCAGAACUUAAUUAUAAGCGGAGUUACAGAGAAGUUGGAUUCCUGAUUCUGGCGAGUCUGCUCCUCCAAGGUCAGAGCCUUUGGGUAAGGGUGGGACGCUGCCAUUCGACAUGUCAGUGACAUCUGAGCUGAUGCAUUUGAGAACCUCGCAGCCCUACACUGUCCUAAACCCUCUGGGGCUGCAGUCAUGGUCCACUCCCAUUACAGGCAAGUGCUUCUGCCUGCUUGGUGAUGCAGGAGCCCCUGACUUGCAAGAGAGCAUGAGCCCAUCUCAGCCGGUACCUUGACCUCCAGUUCUGUCCUCACCAGCAGCCACUAAAGUUGUCACAACACGAUCCAGCUUUGUCAAGGGAAGAAAGGAACAUGCUAUGCCUUAGAGGCUUCAGGACCCAGCCACCACUCUGGGCAGAGAGUAAAAGGGUGUGCAUGGGACCAGCUCACAAGGAUGGGGAUCAAAGGCAACAGAAGCUGGGCGGGGCGGUUCAUCAUCGAGGGCGCAUCCUCCAGGACACAGGGGUUCAACACCCUGGAGGGCCCCGGGAGGUGGUGCCCACUGGCUGUCAGGGCGGCCUUUGGGAAGCUUGGAAAAAUUCAGGGCUCAUCUCAAAUGAACUCAAAGUGCCAGAACUGGGGUGGCAGAUGGUGGAGGGAGGAAUCAAAGGGCUCAGAGAAACAGGUACACCAUGAUGGAUAUAAUAUAAAAAGCCAGAUAUCGGCCUGCUUAACUGAGCUCCAGGGAAGGGCUGGGGGAAUAUGUAAGUGGCAGCCCGGAUGAAAAGCCUGCGGAGGGCCGUGUUCCAUAAGCAAGGCCUGACGGGAGGAGAUGCUGUGGUAGCACCGUCUCCACGGUAGCAAUAAGACAGACGUGGUCCUGAGAUAAGAGAGCCCGGUAGGGGAAUUUAAACUCUAUUAGCAAGGUGGCAAAAAUUACUGUAAGGAGCGGAAGGGUCAGAGCGACAAGCAGGGAGCCUACAGAAAGCUCUAGAAACGGUCACGUGGUGUUCCCAGGGGCAGGUAGAUAGCUGACAAAGAGUAGUGUGUCCUUUACAUGGGUGGGAGAAGUCAAAGAUGGGCGAUUAGAAGGUCGUAUCAGCUGCCCCAGGAAAAGGCUGUGGUCCCUUUGGAGCUAGAGCUCGGAGCCAGAAGGCAAGGCUGGAUUCCCCAAGAAGGAGCCCGUAACCCGUGGCGAGUCUGUGUGGGAACAGUGACCCUGGCCUCCUGCAAAGGGACCUGCAGCCAGGUGCCCAGCGAAAGGAGAACGUUUCUAAGACUGAGGGACACAGGGUCUAAGACGACAUUCAUACAUAAAGACCUGCAGCGUCCUCAUGACUUCCAUUACACCAGAAGCCGAUGGGAGUCGGGAAAUAAACAGAAUCUGGCCAGGCUCGGACCACCGUGGAUCCUGAGCCCACGAGCACAUUCCAUUUCCUGGUGGAAGUCCCUGAUACGGUCUCCCAUCCCCAUCAAGUGCAAAGCACAGUCAACCAACCUUCCAACGUCACAUAACAGAGAGAUGGCAGCAGAAAUUAGAAUCCCCUUUAUUUAUCUCAUAUGGGUGGUGCUGAGGAUUAAACCCAGGGCCUGGCACAUACCGGGCAAGUGCUCUACCACGGUGCUAUAGCCCCAGCCUCAGGGUCAAACUUUAGAUACCCACGAGGCAUGGAUAGUUGUCUUUGCCUUCUUGUUUGCUAGUUUGAUCCUUACUCCCCCCCCCCCCAAAAAAAAAGCAUCGGCUGAUGUCUGGAAGCCGAGAGUAGAUGUUUGAUUGCUGCUUAGCAGGGGUUUCAGCCAUGGCUGCUGUGUGGCCUGAAGCAUCUCUGCCAAGGUUGAGAAGCCCUAGACUGAAGCGGGCUGGACCAUCUUGUGUCCCACGGAGCAUCGCGCUGGUCCAGCUCAUCUGCACCUUCAUAUUCAUCGACGGAUGAGAAGAGACCAGCACUUGGAGGCCUCCCUGAGGAAGACGUGCUUCAGGGGCCGGGACCAAACAGCAGUGACGUUCUAGGGGCGCAGUGGUCAUAGGCAUGUUGGGGGCCCCUCUCUCAGAGGACAAGAUGAAUUCUUGCAUUGAACCUCCCAGGAGGCGGAAGGAAGCACAGCGUCUGUGAGUCUCUCUUGAGGGUUUUUCAGGCAAUAUUUUCCACACUUGACAAAUGCGACUGCAAGACAUUUUCCCGAGUGACAUGCCCAAAGCAGGGGAGAGCUCGGCAGCCGCCCCAGGCUGUGGGACCAACAGUCUGGCGACUGGGGUCACGUGACCCAGCCAGCUCAGAUUGACAGACGGCUCUGUGGCGGGAACAGACAGUGUGAGUUUAUGGCAAGCCCUGAGCAGAGAGUAACAAGUUAGAUCCCUGGAGUUCUGGAAUAAGGCCAGGCCAUCUGGAGCGGAAAAUUAUGCACAGUGUGGAAAACAGCUUUGGAGGCCUUCUGGGCCUUGAUGGAGCUGGAGCCUGGGUUCAGCCCAAUGGGGACAGCUUGGAGGUGACACCCUGUGAGCAUAGACUGCCAGCCUCCAGGACAUGACUCUCACUUGGUCCCCGAGACACUCACCCAAACUCAUGACCUGUAUGAUGCUUUGUCCUCAGGAGGCAGAUACAUGGGUGUGGCACCUGUCACUCUCGGGGAUCCCUCAGGAACCUUGUUCCUGUCCCUGAGACAGUAAGCUCCUCAUGUCUAAGCUCUGCCCUGCUCCCCAGAUUGGAAACACUUUCACCAGGGCACAGAGUAGAAGGCCCCUUGAAAGUCAGCCUGCAGUGCCACCUGGUCACUUCAGAUGCCUGGGACCCAACAACCGGCAGGCCAGAAGGGAAUCGCCACGUUGGCAGCGAUCCUGUCCUGGCUGGCUGGCAGGAGAGAGAGGGUUGUAAUUACACAGUGAGGGCGGGGGAGAGGCCAGUUUUAGUGUCCUUGUGACCCGUGAGGGAGGGAGUCACUUGGGGUUUUCUUGUUUUUGACAGUAAAUAGGUAAGAGCAGCAGCCGGGGCUGAGCAGCAUGGGGCCCAGGACCACUAGGGAUGAGGGUCUCAGGGGUCCCACUAAGUAAAGCUGCUAGACCAGCUGGGGUCAAGGGGAGUGUCCUGGGGGCAAUAGAGGAGGACACAAGGGCACCAGUCUUGGGACAAAAGACAGCAUCAAGGAGCUGGGAUUCAAGUCCCCUGCUGUCUCCUUUUUAAGGUUUUAGAGGGCAAGAGAUCAGCCAGAAUCCCGAAGGGCUGGCUCUGAUGCCGCAAAUCCCAGAGGGAUCAGGGUGGACACUGUGGGAACUGCAGUCACCCAUUCCCAGGGGUCCAAGAUGCUUGUCCCCAAGCUGCUAAGAGUGCUGGCUGUGGAUAACUCCAUCUAAGUUCCUUCCCCACAGCGUCUGUCUGCCAGAGGGAGUUGUCUUGCCUUACAACAAGGGCACCCUGACCUGGGGACCCAUCAGCAUGGGGUGCAAGCUUCCAGCUCCUCUGCCUGGACUCCAGAUGGACCCGAAAGGCCACUUAGCUCCAGGUCUCCCUGUGUGAUAGGUGGAGGCCUCUCUUGCAGGUGCCUUGUUGUUGGGGUCUGCACCUAGACCCCCAGGCUCCCAAACAGGUACACAGCAAAGGCUCAAAGGGAUGAGACCCGCGGCAGGGUCUUCAGGGCUGCAGGAGGAGUGAAGUCCUCGGCAGAGUCCGGAACUCUGCCAGCCGCCAGCUGACUGACGCUGGGCGGCCCGUAUUUACCCAGAACAAGCCAGGAGCUGAGUGGACAAUGGCGGAGACCUGAGCGGGACCUCGGGAGGGGCUCAGGGACCCCUCAGAGCAACAGACGAUGCUAACUAAGGAAAACUAUCCAGAACGUCUCCCGGUGGCCCCAGCUGUGGCCCAUCUUGCCCCCUGAGGUGUUCUUCGUUCUCAAUUCAAUCUUGCCCAGGCCACAGACCUGCAGGUAUAUUCAGCUCAACUGCCCCAGCCCCUUGUGUUCAGCCUCCGCCCUGCCUGACCCUGCUUCCCAGACCCCGCUGGCGUUGCUGCUGUGAUGGGACUUUCCCCCUAAUCAACCUCCUGCGUGUAGGUCUUUGUUCCCUCGAAGCCAGCCUCAGAGAGGGCUUGUUUUGCUGGUCACUCGAGUAGCAGGGUUGUUCAGAGAAACAGAACCAAAAGCACGUACGCAGACACAGAAAUUCAUUACAAGGAGUGGGAGCUGAGAAAUCCCACACGCUGCCCUUUGCAGGGGGAGGCAGGGAAACCCGUGGUGCAGCUCCAGUCCCGCUCUGGAGUCUCGGAACCCAAGGUUGUCCAGGUCCAGCAGAGGGCAGCUCUGCCCCGGGCACGUUGGCGUAAAAACUUACGCAUCACACUGGCCGCUGGAAUUGCGUGAGGCUGAGUCCUGGUGGUCACCUCGGGACCCAGACCAAAGAGGUCCAUGGGUAGCUCCAGGGCUGUUGACCUUCUGCAUCCUCUUGUGUGGACUGGGAAUGAGCGUGGAAUUUAGGUGGGUGGGGAGGAAGUGUGGGGGCCACAGAUGGACAGUGCAGUCCAAGCACGGGGACGGGAAAUUCAGGGGUGACUGUAGACCUCCGCUCCCCUCCUAGCUUCCAGACCACAGAGCGGUACAUCAGCGAAGCUUGUUUUGUUCAUAAAAGGAACCGCCCCUGGCUUCAUUUAUGGGGCUCCCCUCUAGCACAUCUAGUGUGGAUCAGUAUGGUGACAUACGGAAGGGGGUGGCAAUGGGCGUCCCCCCAUUUCCAUCUUCCUCCUGGGUGCUCACAGGAGCAAUACGAGGUCACUACUGCCAUAAUCAUCUUCUUAUGCAAGGGGAAACUGAGGUUCAGAGAGGGUGAGUGACGGGAAAGUGACAGAGGAGGCAGCAGAAGCAGGCACAAACUCAAGUCUGUGUGACCCAGAGGAGGCCCGGGGUGCUCUGGGAGCCCCCAGAGAAGGGUGGGAUGGCUCUGGGUCCUCUUCUUGAUCCGUCUGUGACAUGCUGUCUCCUUCCCGGAAGAGGAUGUUGCCCCAAGUCCAGUUCCGGGGUCUGAUGAGGAAGACAGGUAGGAGGUCUCCGAGUGGGGUCCUGGGGCCCCAGCCCCUCCCCGCCUCCAUCCCACCAUCCAUCCCUGGGCCUGUCUGCCUCUUGGGCUCUCCUGCCCUGGCAGUUGGAGCCAGUAUGUGGCCUCAGAAACUCCUGGUCACUCCCUUCACUGAGCUUGCUAGGUGCCAUUGAAGGGAUCCAAUUCUGUGAAAUUCCAGAUGGACCCACGUUCGUUAGUUCAGUAUUCUGCGGGGAGGUGACCUCAUGGCUCGUGGACUGUGUGACUGGGCAGAGAAGCCAACCCCGCUGAGCUUUACUUAGGGCGCCUCCUCUGGGAGUGGCGCAUUAAUUGGUGGACCCAGGAAAGCAUAUUCAGCUCUCACCUCUGUGUGUGUCUCUCUGUACCCCCGUUUCCACCGUCUCCUCCCACAUGACUCAGGUGACUCCAGGCAGAAGGAACCUUCACUGAUAUUUCCAAAGAAAUCUCCCUCGGCCUAGAUGGCGCAUCUCCCAGUUGCUGGGGCCCUUCUGUCCGCCCCUUUGGUGGCCUGUGCCCAGCCUCUCCUCCUCCCCUGCCCCUCUGCCCUUUCCUCCUCUCCCCACUCUCCCAGGCCUCUGCUCCUCUUAGGUCCUCCUCCACUCCCGGCCACCCGGGCGCCUCUCGGUUUCCAGCGUGCAGUUUGUUGUUGCUACUUUUGAUUAAAUUCCCCGUUUCUUUCCCAGAUUAUUUCCCCAGAGUCGCCCGGCUUGCUUGGAGCCAGGAGGAUGCAGAGGUAGCUAAACCUGCGGGGCCAGGCUGAGCAUCAGGCCAUCCUGGAUUGGGGGGCACCCCACGUCUUCCUGCCCUGUAUUGGUGUUGGGGUGGGGGCCACUGAGCUGAUGUGUGAUCGUGGACCUUCUCCAACUUGUACUGGUUUCCUAGUGUCACAGUCUCAUGAGUCCUGUCCUGUGUCAUUUGCUUGUUCUGCCCAAAGUGCCGUAAAGGCACUAUCGGGGUACGGCUCGGACAGCCCAGGCCACCUGCACUUUCCUUGCCAGCUCCUGCUCCGGGCUCCCCCAGAUUUGAGACUGCUUCAGCCUCUCUUCCAAUUGUCCUUCACGGCCUUCCUCCCCCUGCAGGAUGGAAGGUCCCCACAUGGGCCAGCAGGACAGAGCCAAGGCCUAGAACAGGGUGUCCUGUGGUCCAGCCUCACUGUCCCUCUGAGCAGCUGUGUGGCCUUGGGAAGUCUCAUGAUCUCUGGGUAUGGAACAUUUUUUGGCCAAGUUGGGUCUGUCUUUCUUUGGUACCAGGGAUCAAACUCAGGGCCUCACAUUUGCCAGGUAGGCCCUGUGCCACUGAGCUUCAUCCCCAGCCCCCCUUUGUGGCCAAGUUGAAAAGCAUCUAAAAAGACCCAGACAGGAACCCUCUCCACUUCCUUGCUGUGGAUCCUGGGCUGGUUCAUUGGCCACCUCCAGUCUCAAAUUCCAGAGCCUCCCCCUUGGGGCUGGUGCCAACCCUCAGCACGGUGUGUACCAUGACUGCCACUGACCCGGAGUGAGGGAGGGUCGCAGGACUCCUCAAGGAGUCAAGUGCAGAUUGUGGGAGGUGGGUUUACAGGAGCAACCUGGGUGCCAACCUUGUGGAGGUGCCUUUGCUAUUUAGCCCACCGGGGCUGGUGCCUUCGAACGUAGUGUCUUUACAGGGCAGAGCAGAGAGCAAGGGAACAGGAGGAGAGGAGGGAGAAGGAGACCGAAGGAAAAAACAGCUGUGCUGCGUGAGGCGGCCCAUAAGUGCGAGUGUCAUGACACCAAGGGACAUUUCCAGCAGAGGAGCCAAAUCCUCAGUUUUCUGAAGCGUCAGCCUCCUGCAGACCCGGGCUCUUGGCUCUUUCCUCCAGGGCCAGCCGAGGGGGUGUGGCUUGGCUGGUGGCCAGCCUGCCCCUCCCCCACAUCGGCCACUGCUCCGAACUGAACUCCUGUAAAUCUACUCGGGGUUUCUGGCAUGAGUAGUGUGGAUAGAGUGAUUCUCAAAGGAAAGCUCUAUAAAUAUUCAGAGCGGUUAGCACCGAAAAGCUCCAGAGCCCAGCACCUGGUAGAGUUGACUUACAGUGUCCAGCAUCCAGUGGAGCUGACCUAGUGUCCGGCAUGACAGCGGCAGCUGGCAUCCAGCCUUACCCGGUGGCACCCAGCACUGCCCAGUGUCAUUCGGUGAGGUCAGGAUUGUAGGUAGAGUUAUACUUUGCCGAUUUAUGGUUUCCGUCUGAAUCAAGCCAAAGAAUCCCAGGCCGACUGGAACUACCUGCACCCCAAACCUGCACUACACUUGCUCCCCACCAUUAGGUGCCAGGGGAGGGCCUCCCUCUCCUGGUGGAGCCUGGGAAGGGGACGUGGCACGGUACGCCACACCCCAUCUCCUAUGCCCAAAGACCAAGUAUGCCUGCCCAGGUGGGAGAGGGUGGGAGAGACCCCACCCCCAGCCAUCCCUGGCUGCAGAAAUACCCAGAAACAUUGGGAAAGAUCUGGAAUCGUUUGAGUCCUCUUUGAAGAAUCUUUUCUUCCAAGUGUUUGAGAUUUUGAACAUUUCAAACCUAUAGAAAAGUUGAAAGCACAGUCCCUUGUAUGUCUGUCCGUCCUUCACACAGAUUUACCCACUGCUGGCGCGGGUGCCUUUCAGUUUCUCUCUUUUCUUUCUUCUGAUCGUUUGAAAGUAGGUUGCAGCUAUCAGACUCCGGGCUCCCAAAUCAUCAGCGCGGAUCCCCGCGCAGAAGGACUGUCUGUCUCCCACAUAAGCACAAAGAAGUAAUUAUCAGACUCAAGGACUCGAACACAGAUCUGAUAACGGUAUCUGUUGUGCGGUUCGUAUUCAGAUUUCUCCAAUUGUUCCAGAACCCUCUGGUGUAGCUGUUUUAUCCCCUUGCAGAUCCACUUAGGCUCGAGCGCUUUGCAUUUAAUUAUCACGGUCCUUUAGCUUUCUUUAAUCUUGCCUUUUGGUCUUUCUUGUAAUUGACACUUUGAAGAGUCCAUAUCAGACAUCUUGUAAAAUGCCCCACAACCUGAAUACAUCUGAUUGUUUCCUGCGGUUCCAUUCAGUUGAAGUUUCUAGUGGGAAUGCCAAGUAGGGUGCCGUGUCUAGGUUAUUGCAUUAAGGAAAGAGGCCUGCAGUGCCGGUUUGUCUUAUUUUUGGUGACCUUACAUUUGAUCAGGUGGUUAAGGCGCUGUGUGCUGUAUUUCUCCCUUGCAAAGUUAUCUUUUCUUUUUUUCUUUCCUGUAAGUAGUAAGUCAUCUUCACUGCAUCUGCGGAAGAACUUGUCUGGGUCACUUUCUUGUGCUGAGAGUUUUGUCUCCUGGAACACCGGAGCUCCUGCCGGGAUGUGGCUUCUAUACACGGCUAUGUGCUGGUCCAAGCGGGCGGCUUCAGGGGUGUGACAGUCAAGGGCCAUCCUCGGUGACCUAUCCUGGCCCCUUUGGAUCGACCCUUUCUUUUGUGGUCUUUGACUGCAGAACAAGUGUCUCCGAUCAGAGAACUAGCCUUUCGCUUACUGGUCCCAGUAAAUUAGCUGGCGGAUUGCUAGGAGUGUGUGUGUGUGUGUGUGUGUGUGUGUGUGUGUGUGUGCGCACAUGCAUGUGCACAUGCAUGUGCACGACAUUUAGGGGCUUAGGACUUAGAGGCAGCACAUUCCCCAUCCCAGGAGCUGCAGGGUGCUGGGUUCCAGCCCUGGUUUCCAUGGCAAUGGGCAACCUCCUUCUGCAGUCUGCCUCCGUCUGGACCAGCUGACAAUGGUGAGGCCAGGGACAAUGGGACAGAGCCUGGAGAUGAGGACGGAGCCCAGACAGACCCGCACUGAGUAUCUUGCUGAGGAAAAGCACCAGGUGGCCCAUGGGCGUCUCGGAGAUGAGAACUUUGGAAAGAGUUCCGCUCACUGUUCUGUAGGGUGGAUUUUUCCAGGGACCCCAGGGACCCCUCACUUACUGCAAGAUGGACUCUUCCAUUGGGAAGGGUCUGUGAUAACACUGAGGACAGCGGUGGAGCCCAGCACCUCUCUUGUGAGUUUGACGCAUGUUAAGCAGAUUCAGGUCCUUAUUUCUUGAUCUGUUUCACAAGCAAUCUUGACCUGUUUCCAUGAAUAAUCUGUCUUGCUCCAUAUCCAGUCCCUUGAGGUGGCUGCUAAUAUUUUGCACACUUUAUGGAUAUAGGAUCUGAGGCUCAGAGGACUUUACCAGGAUCACACGGCUGGUGAGAUGUGAAAUAGUGUGGUAUAACCACAAAGGGCACAAGAUACAGAGACUGGCAGGCUGGGCUCAAAGCCUGGCCGUUCACUCACAGCUGGUGAUGUGAGCCAGAGUCACGGAGGGCUCCAGGGCCGGGACCUGCUAUCCUCUGUCCAAGCUCGCCUGUUCCAGAACUGUCCUCAGCCCAAUCAAAGCUCUCAUGGGAACUUACUGUGACUAAGUUCUGGCUGCUGAAGUGUCUGCAUAAGUGUCAUAUGAACUUCCAGAAAACCUUUUUUAAAGAGCAUGGCCAUUCAUUUUUGUCUCUCCUCUUUCCCUUCCUUCUUCCUGCUGCCUAGAUUGUAGCUGCAAUAGAUGGAGCAUCAGCAACCUUCUUAAGCUAAGAGGUGACUUCCAGGAUGGUGGAACAGAAACAGGAAGAAGCGUGGGUCCCUGAAGACCUGGUAGGAAGAUCUUACCAGCCCUCUGAGGGCUACAUCCGGACUUUGAUGUGUAGGACACAAACACUUGUGGGUGUGAGUCACUAGAUCAUGGGGCCUGGUGCUGGCUUGAGUGCUAGGCUGUGUAAAUUAAAUUGGUCAAGUGAUUGACUACAGUGAGGAAACAGCGUAUCUGAGGACCCUGACUCCUGCCCAUCCACCUCCCAGGACACCUGGAGUGAGGUCACCAGAAGGUGUGACAGCAGAAUUGCUAGUCACGCGCUGCGGUGUGGCUGGCACUGGACAGAGCAGAGCCUGCUGUAUCCAUCUGCCCACCACAGGCUGCCCCUCUCUCCUAGGCCACCAGGGUGCUCAUGUAGCCAGCCUCAGUGUCCCUCUUCCUCCGGACACGCUGCAUGGAGCACAGAGGACAGAGCAUGGUGGGUAGAUCCAGCCCCCAAGCCUUGCUGCCUGGAUGCAGUAGACACCUGUCCCGUCUUCCCUGCCUUUCCUAACGACGGUGUACCUGCCUGUUUUAUGUGUCAGAGGUCACUCCUGCUGCCUCUGAAGGUGACAUGCCCUGUCUAGGGCCAAGGGCUGUGAAUAGGGACAGGGAGAGGCACCUUCCUUUCUGGUAAAAAAGGACAAAGGCCCUUACUGCAGGCACCGGAGGGCUGCAGAAGAGUGCAACUUCCCUCCGAGGCAGGCAGAGAAACUGAGGGCUUUUGUUAGGUUUGACAGGGGGAGGAGUUGGAAGGGGCGGGAAGAAUGACGUAUUGACAGCUGAUUGGGGGAUGUUGGCGCAUGCGCAAAAUCGGGACGUUCAAUUUUGGUCUGAAAGAACGUGGAAGUCAACAUGGGGAGGGACUCGCUGUCUGUCCCUCCAGGGUCCAUGCCAAGUUGGGCAGGCGCCAUGCUGAGCCUGGCAGGGCUUCACACGGGCAAACCCAUCAGUCCCUUCUCCAACCCCACAUGCCCUGUCCCAGUGGACAGGCUGGCUUGGCUAAAUGAUUUUUCUCACCCCGCUUCCUCCCGUGAGGGCCACCUGUCCUGAUGGGAGGGCUGGACUUGGGGGCAGGACAGGAGGGUACUUGGGACUUGGUAGCCCAGAGGUGCCCAUGAAGUACCUGAGUCAGGAGAGCCCUGGCUCCGCUCCUCCAGUGUAAGGCUGGCCGAACACCUGCUCUUGGCCCCGCUGAUUAGAGGCCACCCAGGCUUUGUGACUUAAUUUCUCUUUUUCUAAUUGGCCAUGGUAGUGAGGGGGACGCCUCUAAUCUGCCAGGUCAUAUUUCUUCUCUUAAAAGCAUCACAGGCCUGUGAUCCUUCUGGGGUACAGCUUCCACCCCAGGGACUGCAGUGACCAGAACCUAGCAGGACCAGUGACAGCAUGCGUGGCAGUGAAGGGCCUUGGAGCCGGGAGGGCGGUGCUGAGGUGUCCCUGGGUGGUGGUGGGGGGACAGAGCCAAGGGGUGACUGCGAUGGAUGGUCCAGGGCUGUGACUGUUUUCCUCGGGCCGCUCCCCACCUCCCCACCUCUCCUCAUCCUGAGGACUCCAGCGCCUUCUCCAGGCCAGCUCGGGACACCGCCGGCGGUCUCCUGGGCAUCCUGGGAGAGCCACAUGGCUCCCUGCUGACAGCCAAGACAUGGAUGCCACCAGCCAUGGCGCCACCUGCUCAGAGGGCUUUGUGCCUGUUUGUGUGCCCAGUGGCGGCCUCUGUCCCCAGUGCCACCUUUGGGGAUUACUCAGGAGCUUCACAGGGGCCCCUUGCUGAGCUUCAUGUGGUUGUCAUCUGUCUCUGCCUUCUGAGCACAGCCAGACACCUCCUCCUGACGGGGACAGAUAGAUGCUAUCCCCACAUUUUGUGCUCAGAGUGCCUCCACUGCCCAGGCCUGGGCUCCCCAGCAUCCUGGGCUUCCUGUCAAAGGUCCCCAGUCAGCUCUCCAAGCAGAACAGCUCCAAACUCAGUAGCGCCUUUGUGUCACCCCAGCCUCUGUUAGCUCAGCAGACAGCGUCCCCACUUCCAAGGUGCUCAGCCCCAAAACCUCGAACUUGUUGCUUGGAUGACUGCCUGCUGUGGCCUCUCCUGAGAAAUCCUGUCAGCUCUGAUUCAAGAGCUAACAGACUCCAAAAAAAAAAAAAAAAAAGAGAUAACAGACUCCAGCUACUUCUUACCAGGUCGGUGUCUGCCCAGGAUGUGUUGGAGCCACCACCUUCUGCUCUCCUGCUUCCCUGGGCUCUCAGCUGUUCAUUAAAUCCAACAAAUGUGUCCUACCUCAGGGCCUUUGCACCUGCUGCGCCCUCUGCUCUUCCUCUAGGUAGCUGCAUGGCUCACUCCUGCCUUCUCUGUUCAAAUUUUCGCACCACCCGCAUCAGCAUCCCCCACUGCAUCUGCUACGGUUUGGAUGUGUUUGUUCCCCAAAGGAGCAGGUGCCAGACUGUCUGUCACAGUGUUACUCUGCUCUCUCCCCUGUAGUCCCUUUGGAGCUCUGCCCUGCAUUUGUUCCCCAGUCCUCGCCCAUGCACCUAGGUGGUGUUUAGUCAGCAGUUUAAUUUCCACUAAGUAUAAAUUAGUGAGAAUAAAAUAACAAAUUCUGUUUCUCACCGUGUCAAGGGCAGCCACAUGAUCUCUAGUUUACAGGCAGGGAAAUGGGCAGAGAGUCUAGUGAUUUCUUUUCAAUAGCUUGAUUGAGAUACAAUUUACAUACCGCCUAACACGCACAGUUUGGUGGUUUUCAGAUGUUCACAGCUGUGCAGCAUCGCUGUGGGCAGUUCUGGCUUUUCUCACCUUCUCCAAGGAGUCCUUCCCCGUCCUGCCUGAGCCCUGUCUCGGCUCCGCGCAGUCACUAAUCUACUUUCUGUCUCUGUGGAUUUCCUGUUCUGGAUAUUUCAUAUAUAUGGAAAUCGCACCAUCUCCGGAAUUCUGUGACUGAUUUACUUCACGAGUGCCCCAGAUUUUACAACUCUGUGAUCUCGUUAUUAAAUAACCAGUGGUGAGACCCACACUCUCAAGUGUAUUAGACAGAAAUGGUAGGAAAUACUUGGGAGACGGCUGGGAGCGAGCUGUGAGAUAGGCAGCAGGGUCCUGGGUUCCAGGUCAGGCCCUUAGAUUCUAGUCCUGCCUGUGCCUUUGCUGUGUGACUCCUCCAGGCAGCAAGCUCUCCCAACCCUCAGUGCUUGUCCAAGUUACACAGCAACAGACAGAGAGGGUCCACAGCAGGGGCUGCUCUUCCUGUGGGACGGACUUGGGAGAGCGCCAGGUCCGGCCCCCAGUGGGCACUCGGAGGUGGCCACAGCUGGUCCUGCAGUGGCUCUGGCACUCCCACGGCCAUCUGCCCCAAGGCUUCUGUAAUGGUUGAUACAUUGUGUCAGCUUGAGUUUAGAAGCUUAACUAAAUAACUAGCAGUCCCUAGGGUGCAGAGGACAGUUCUGGGACGGCUGUUUACACUCCGGGAUGUUGGAAUGGUUGAUUCAUCUGUCAGCUUGAGAAGUUUAGAAGUUUAAGUGACUCAGCAGGGAGCCAGGUCUGCACUGUGUAAACACCCUCAGCCUGUGCGAGAUGGAGACACAGUCAUGUGAGUGCUGCGCCUGCCCUAGGGCGGGUAGCCUGCAUACCGUGUAAGGCAGGAAAAGAGGCUCCUUUCCUCAUGUUGUUUUUUGUGCUUCUGCUGUGUUUUGCUGCCUUGAACUGUUGCCCCUCACCACGCCACCCCGCCUUGGAGCCAGCUGAUUAUGGACUGAAACCUCCACAGACUGUGAGCUCAAUAAACCUUUCCUUCCUUAA